rnacentral:misc_RNA from 1 species
CGCCGUCAAUUCAUUUAAGUUUCAACCUUGCGGUCGUACUUCCCAGGUGGGAUACUUAAUGCUUUCGCUCAGACACCAACAGUGUAUCGCUGAUGUCGAGUAUCCAUCGUUUAGGGCGUGGACUACCAGGGUAUCUAAUCCUGUUUGAUCCCCACGCUUUCGUGCCUCAGUGUCAAUAUUCGUGUAGCCAGCUGCCUUCGCAAUUGGUGUUCUAUGUCAUAUCUAUGCAUUUCACCGCUACAUGACAUAUUCCGCUGACCUCCACGGUAUUCAAGAUUGAUAGUAUCAAUGGCAGUUUCCGAGUUAAGCUCGGAGAUUUCACCACUGACUUUCCAAUCCACCUACGCACCCUUUAAACCCAGUGAAUCCGGAUAACGCUUGCACCCUCCGUAUUACCGCG